ensembl:antisense Gm13402 predicted gene 13402
UUUACUAUAGUAACACUUAAUUUUAUUUCAAGCUUUACUGCCUCAACUAAAGGAUUUUACAAUAGCAGAUGCCUUCCCUCCCACACAUCAAUUAAUUUGCAAAUUCACUCAGGUUGUAGAGAUAAUGAGGCAUUGAGAGCCUUCUUGGUGUGAGGGCGAAAUUCCAACUCUAUGGCCCAUUCAGAUGCAAAAGAAAACCUCCUCUCAUGCUCUUCGCAGUUCUGGGAGAAACACUGGGUUUUGCUCAGUCAGCUCCAUCUGCAGCAGCCCCUUACCUUGUUGGACCAUUUGUAUGCUUGCAGAAGCUGGCUGUAGAGUGGGGUUUUGUCCUGCACAGGAUCCAGGCUUAGCAGCCCACUGUUAUGAAGAGGGUGGUUCUCAGACGGCUUGCCUACCAGGUUGCUCAAACGUUCCAGUUCACUGA